rnacentral:rRNA from 1 species
UUAAGCGACUAAGCGUACACGGUGGAUGCCCUGGCAGUCAGAGGCGAUGAAGGACGUGCUAAUCUGCGAAAAGCGUCGGUAAGGUGAUAUGAACCGUUACAGCCGGCGAUGUCCGAAUGGGGAAACCCAGUGUGAUUCGUCACACUAUCGUUAACUGAAUACAUAGGUUAACGAGGCGAACCGGGGGAACUGAAACAUCUAAGUACCCCGAGGAAAAGAAAUCAACCGAGAUUCCCCCAGUAGCGGCGAGCGAACGGGGAGCAGCCCAGAGUCUGAAUCAGCUUGUGUGUUAGUGGAACGGUCUGGAAAGUCCGACGGUACAGGGUGAUAGUCCCGUACACCAAAAUGCACAGGCUGUGAACUCGAAGAGUAGGGCGGGACACGUGGUAUCCUGUCUGAAUAUGGGGGGACCAUCCUCCAAGGCUAAAUACUCCUGACUGACCGAUAGUGAACCAGUACCGUGAGGGAAAGGCGAAAAGAACCCCGGCGAGGGGAGUGAAAAAGAACCUGAAACCGUGUACGUACAAGCAGUGGGAGCACCUUCGGGUGUGACUGCGUACCUUUUGUAUAAUGGGUCAGCGACUUAUAUUCUGUAGCAAGGUUAACCGUAUAGGGGAGCCGCAGGGAAACCGAGUCUUAACUGGGCGUUAAGUUGCAGGGUAUAGACCCGAAACCCGGUGAUCUAGCCAUGGGCAGGUUGAAGGUUGGGUAACACUAACUGGAGGACCGAACCGACUAAUGUUGAAAAAUUAGCGGAUGACUUGUGGCUGGGGGUGAAAGGCCAAUCAAACCGGGAGAUAGCUGGUUCUCCCGAAAGCUAUUUAGGUAGCGCCUCGUGAAUUCAUCUUCGGGGUAGAGCACUGUUUCGGCUAGGGUCAUCCCGACUUACCAACCCGAUGCAAACUACGAAUACCGAAGAAUGUUAUCACGGGAGACACACGGCGGUGCUAACGUCCGUCGUGAAGAGGGAAACAACCCAGACCGCCAGCUAAGGUCCCAAAGUCAUGGUUAAGUGGAAACGAUGUGGGAAGGCACAGACAGCCAGGAUGUUGGCUUAGAAGCAGCCAUCAUUUAAAGAAAGCGUAAUAGCUCACUGGUCGAGUCGGCCUGCGCGGAAGAUGUAACGGGGCUAAACCAUGCACCGAAGCUGCGGCAGCGACACUAUGUGUUGUUGGGUAGGGGAGCGUUCUGUAAGCCUGCGAAGGUGUGCUGUGAGGCAUGCUGGAGGUAUCAGAAGUGCGAAUGCUGACAUAAGUAACGAUAAAGCGGGUGAAAAGCCCGCUCGCCGGAAGACCAAGGGUUCCUGUCCAACGUUAAUCGGGGCAGGGUGAGUCGACCCCUAAGGCGAGGCCGAAAGGCGUAGUCGAUGGGAAACAGGUUAAUAUUCCUGUACUUGGUGUUACUGCGAAGGGGGGACGGAGAAGGCUAUGUUAGCCGGGCGACGGUUGUCCCGGUUUAAGCAUGUAGGCUGGUUAUCCAGGCAAAUCCGGAUAAUCAAGGCUGAGGUGUGAUGACGAGGCACUACGGUGCUGAAGUAACAAAUGCCCUGCUUCCAGGAAAAGCCUCUAAGCAUCAGGUAACAUCAAAUCGUACCCCAAACCGACACAGGUGGUCAGGUAGAGAAUACCAAGGCGCUUGAGAGAACUCGGGUGAAGGAACUAGGCAAAAUGGUGCCGUAACUUCGGGAGAAGGCACGCUGGUGUGUAGGUGAAGUCCCUGCGGAUGGAGCUGAGACCAGUCGAAGAUACCAGCUGGCUGCAACUGUUUAUUAAAAACACAGCACUGUGCAAACACGAAAGUGGACGUAUACGGUGUGACGCCUGCCCGGUGCCGGAAGGUUAAUUGAUGGGUUAUCCGUAAGGAGAAGCUCUUGAUCGAAGCCCCGGUAAACGGCGGCCGUAACUAUAACGGUCCUAAGGUAGCGAAAUUCCUUGUCGGGUAAGUUCCGACCUGCACGAAUGGCGUAAUGAUGGCCAGGCUGUCUCCACCCGAGACUCAGUGAAAUUGAACUCGCUGUGAAGAUGCAGUGUACCCGCGGCAAGACGGAAAGACCCCGUGAACCUUUACUAUAGCUUGACACUGAACAUUGAGCCUUGAUGUGUAGGAUAGGUGGGAGGCUUUGAAGCGUGGACGCCAGUCUGCGUGGAGCCAACCUUGAAAUACCACCCUUUAAUGUUUGAUGUUCUAACGUUGGCCCCUGACCGGGGUUGCGGACAGUGUCUGGUGGGUAGUUUGACUGGGGCGGUCUCCUCCCAAAGCGUAACGGAGGAGCACGAAGGUUAGCUAAUCCGGUCGGACAUCAGGAGGUUAGUGCAAUGGCAUAAGCUAGCUUGACUGCGAGCGUGACGGCGCGAGCAGGUGCGAAAGCAGGUCAUAGUGAUCCGGUGGUUCUGAAUGGAAGGGCCAUCGCUCAACGGAUAAAAGGUACUGGGAUAACAGGCUGAUACCGCCCAAGAGUUCAUAUCGACGGCGGUGUUUGGCACCUCGAUGUCGGCUCAUCACAUCCUGGGGCUGAAGUAGGUCCCAAGGGUAUGGCUGUUCGCCAUUUAAAGUGGUACGCGAGCUGGGUUUAGAACGUCGUGAGACAGUUCGGUCCCUAUCUGCCGUGGGCGCUGGAGAAUUGAGGGGCUGCUCCUAGUACGAGAGGACCGGAGUGGACGCAUCACUGGUGUUCGGGUUGUCAUGCCAAUGGCACUGCCCGGUAGCUAAAUGCGGAAGAGAUAAGUGCUGAAAGCAUCUAAGCACGAAACUUGCCCGAGAUGAGUUCUCCCUGAGACUUUAAGUCUCCUGAAGGAACGUUGAAGACGACGACGUUGAUAGGCCGGGUGUGUAAGCGCAGCGAUGCGUUGAGCUAACCGGUACUAAUGAACCGUGAGGCUUAACCU